rnacentral:lncRNA from 1 species
AUGGAUUAUUUGAGUCCAGAGAAGAGGAUCUAUUAGAAGUUUGCGGACCUCUAGAAGAGGGAUUCCUGGUGCAAGGAAUGGCAGCUGCUUUUCCAACCAUGUGCAAGCAGUGUCCUCUACUUGCCCAGACCGAGAACAAAAUAUCUGAAUCCGAUUCAAGUCAAGAAGAGCAAAGGAAAAAAAGGAGAGAGGAGGUCCAGAGAGCAUCCAUGGGCCAUGGUGGGAUUGGCUGUAGGAUUUCCCUCUAUUCUACUGUCCUGAUCCUGUCUUCGCAGCACCUGCAUCCCAGCCACAGACAAGCUGGAAGGGAGCCCAGAACUCCCAGGCAAUGUGACCCAGUUGGCCUUACUGUCAGGUUGUUGUUGGUCAGUGGAUUAGCAGGCUUACACCAGGUCUCAUGACUCUGAGUCCUGGAGUUCCUCUCUCCAUACCUCCUGUCUUGCUAGAGAUAUCAAAAAAUACUAAGUAAAACAGGAGGCCCAAGGGAGAUGUGCAGUGGCAGCGGGGGGAGGGAGCAUUAAAAGUGUGACCGUGUGAAUACAAAUGCCAUCGUGGGACCCACUGCUUUGGAGGCUAACUUUAAAUGUUAACCUAAAAAUAAUCUCAUAUUAGCAUGCAAAAUAUAUUUCUAUAUGGACACAGGGUUCAAGACUGUAUAGGCGAACAUUCCCUGUAGAGCACAAAUGUAUUGUGCAUGCACUUGGAAGCUGCCGACAAGGUCCCUGGAAGGCACUGGCACUCUGAUCAAUCGCCAUGUCUCCUAGGAUCAAAAGCACUGGAGCCAAGAGGCAGGGACUCAGCAAAAGGGGGAGGGGCAGCCAGUGAGCUGGGGGUGGAGAAUGGCUUCCAGAGGUGCAGACUAAUCUUUUGCCUAGAUCAUGGGUCAGUGCCUUCCUGAGCUGGAACACCAGGCUGGGUAACUGACUAACCAAGAGACAGGUGACUUACCUGUGGCAGUCGUGCCAAAUCCACGCAUGGCGGCCAUUCUUGGGGCGGAAGUCAGACUGGCCAUUGUUGUGGAUCUGGGAGGAGAAGCGUAAAAGGCGCCGGUGGCCUCUGGUGGGGUCGGUGUGCACAGCGGAGGCGGAGAGGCAGUUCUCCUCCAUGGCACACUGCAGCAAGGACAUGGGCCUGUCCUCCAGGUAGGCAGUCUGCUGGACAAUCUCAGCAUUAAGCACCAGGUCAGGUGCAGCUGCAGAAGACAGACAUGGGUCAAAGAGGAAACCCCUUCCGAGGGCACCCCUGAGAAAAGUGCCCUCGUUUUACAUGCCCUUCUGGAGCUGGCCUAGGGCUCCCCAUGCUACCUUCAUGUCACCCCCAAUUACACUUUCAUUUUGCCGGAAGUCUUCUUAACACUCCCCUUCAGUUACCAGUGUGGGUGGGCAAGAUACUGACACAUAGUGGGUGAUAGGCACCCAAGGGCUCCUCAGACCAUUCUCUCUAUUUUCAAGGACCCCUCAGAUGUUCCAUGAUAAAGAGCAGAAAAACAGCCUCGAAGGGAGACACUGCUCACCCAUGGUCUGAUUCUAUCUCUUCUAGUAUGCAUGCAGAUUUAUGGUCUACUAAUGCUGUCCCCCUUAAAAUGUACCUUUAUUGUUGAUGUCUGAACAUUGCGACAUUUAUUUUAUGGUUCUGUAAUAUUUCCUUCACCACCAACUUCUAUCUUUUAGGGUUGCUAUACCUUGGAUGCUUGGAAAUCUUUUUAAAUUAAUGACAAGCCUGUGAUCAAUAUCCUAUAGUCAAUCCGGACCUAAAUUGUGUGUGUGUGUGUGUUUAUAUUUGUGUAUGUGCUUUUCUCUUCUUUAGACUGUAUCUCUAGCAUAGAUGAAUUUCUAGCAGAGAAGUUUCAUGGAGAAAGAACUGCCUGAUUUUUAAGGCUUUGAUGCAUAUUGCCAAGGUGGCUUCUCAGAGUUUUAUUCCUUUCCUUUCCUUACAGUGUGGCACAGAGCUUGUGCAGAAAGGAUGUUGCCCGUGUUGGGGGGGGGGGGGCAGGGAACCUCUUUCUACAAAUGUGAACUGCAGGCCUCCUAAAAAGCAUGUGCUUAAAGCAUCCAUGUCAGAGAACAUUUCACAACAACAUCUGAGGCCUAGCUCUAGAAACUGUGGGUUGAGACCCCAUACAAAGCUGUGUAAGUGAAUGUGGGGGUCUUGAAAAUUUUGGGAACAGUAAAAGGUUUCUGAACACACAAUGUCUGGAAAUUAAUUAAAAAAAUCAAAUGUACAACGAGGCUGAGGUGUUUCUUGCUAGAAACCCAUGUUGUAUUGUGAUGACAGCCUCGGUUUUGAACAUACAACAUUGUAUAUGUCACAUAGGCAACACAGCUUGAAAUACCUUGGUGCAUAUUCAAGAUUUCCAUAUGUUAUGAGUUACAGUGCUUUUGCUAUACAUAAGUUUUCUGUUCUUGUAGAAACAUGGUUCAAUGACAGGAACAAAGACUUUUAAUAUUUUUCUAUUUGUAAAUGUCACAUCAGCAUGUCCUUAAUUGUACUGUGUUAGAAUGUUCUAUUUCAAACAUGUUGCUUGAGAUGCUGACUUGAAUUUAAUUUUUAAAACAGUGUUAAAGGAACUUUGGUUUGAGAUAAGGACAGAUUUCCAAUCAUCUCCGAGAUGGCUCUAAACAUACUUCUGUUGUUCUGUAUUUUGUAUUUAUGCAAAUGGCAUUCUUAGCAUCAAUAAUUAUAUAUCAAGGUACUGGUCAACUC